GGGCACAUGGUGUAGUUGGUUAUCACGCUCGCUUAGCAUUCGACUGCGAGAGGUGUCCGGUUCAAUUCCGGAUGUGUCCA